rnacentral:rRNA from 1 species
CCUACGGGUGGCUGCAGUGAGGAAUAUUGGUCAAUGGCCGAGAGGCUGAACCAGCCAAGUCGCGUGAGGGAAGACGGCCCUAUGGGUUGUAAACCUCUUUUGUCGGGGAGCAAAGCGAGUCACGUGUGACUCAUUGCGAGUACUCGAAGAAAAAGCAUCGGCUAACUCCGUGCCAGCAGCCGCGGUAAUACGGAGGAAGCGAGCGUUAUCCGGAUUUAUUGGGUUUAAAGGGGUCGUAGGUGGAGUGGGAAGUCAGGAGUGAAAAUUCGGGGCUCAACCCCGUAACUGCCAUUGAUACUGCAAGCCUGGAGUGCGGGAGAGGUAGGCGGAAUGCGUGGUGUAGCGGUGAAAUGCUGAGAUAUCACGAAGAACCCCGAUUGCGAAGGCAGCAUAC